rfam:Thalassomonas actiniarum strain A5K-106 contig_56, whole genome shotgun sequence.
GAGAAUUGAUGAACACAAAGGGUUCAGUGAAAUAAGCCCCGAGUGAUGGGGCUUUUUUGUAUUUGUUUCUUUGCGAUAUCUCAUCUGAGUAUCAAGCCUGAUGUCAGAGAAAUAUGGUAAAGAAACAAAUACAAUCACAGCAAGAACUAUUCGCUGGGCUAUAUGCCCUUUUUUU